GGAAAUAUCAAACAUUAUGGAGUGAUAUUGCAAAGAGCGUGUUUAUAUUUUCACUAGUAACGAAGAUUCAACAUAAUGCAUAUAAUGAUUUUUUACUUAAUCAUCCUGAAGUUGGUCUAUGGUUAUACCCUAUUAUUAAACUAGGAGGACCAUUUCAGUAAACCUGAAUCACACCACUAGAAAUCAUUAAAAAAGUUACAUCUAGAAAAACCCAGACGAUUUUUAAAAUAGUCUACGAGCCAGUGGGCGGCAGACCAAACAUAUUUUAGAAAAGCCUAAAAUGUCCUCGGAAAUUAGUGGUGGAUGCAGGUUUUCAUAUACAGUUGUGAAGCCUUGAAAAACAUCCAACUCACUUUACUUAAACUACGUUAAUAAGCCGACGGAAAUUUUCAUUCGGUGCGGUUUUGGUCCAAAAGUCGCACUGCAUUCCACGCGUAGAAAGCUUACGCAUGAAUAAUUCUUCAGAAAAAUCUUCGUAAAGACACACUUAAACGAUAGUCCUGCAAAAAGAAAGCGUCCAAAAUGGCUGAAAUUUUAGUACGAAUAUCUCAACGCAUGCGGAAAUAUAUUUCCCAGCUUAUAUCGAUAAAUGCUAGCAUUUUCAAUUUUUAAGAUAACCUUUCUGAACAAUUAUCUUAAAAUACCCGGAGUGGUCGAUUUUGUUUUUAAUUAACAAUUUCAUUUUAAGUUAUAAGAUAUAUUGGGCGAACUACCUUCGUGUAAUGGCGUCAUUAUUUGUUUUAAAAUGAAAAUCGUCUCUUUAUUAUUUAGGAAUUACUUUUUGUAUGAGCUAGGUGACGUUUUAUUUCAAUGGACAUGUUAACCAAAAACACUCGUUAUUGGUCUGAUCAAAAUCCACGAUGGUUCCAAAAAUACCAUACGCAACGUAUGAACUGGUACUGUGAGAAAUUGAUUCAUAUUUUUUUGAUGAAAAUUUAACAGGGGCAAUAUUUCUUCGUAAUACACUCAUUUCUGAUCUGCUUCAGCUUUUCUCAGAUAUUUGAAUACCCACUAAUUGAAACCGUAUUGACACAUUUCGCAGUAACUUUGUGCCUCCACCCACAUAUUGGAUAGAACGAAGAACCGUGAAAUGGUCUUAUAUGAACCUAUUAGACUUCUCUAUACUUUAUACAAUUCUUAAUGACAGUACAAAAUUAUACAAUUAUAGAACCUUUGACAGAACGCAUUGUUUCUUUUCGCAAGCUUUUCGAUGUAUGUAUAAUAUGUAAUUUCACAUAUUUGUAUGAGUUUCCAACACCUUUAGCACCAGUAGACGUUGAUAAUGCUAGAUUAUCGCUUUCAGAAAGAAUAGUGGUUCAUCUUGGUAGAAUCUUACUGAACUUGGGUUAUUCCUUCUAUACAGAUAAUUGGUACAGUAGCAAUCGGCUUGCUGAAUAUUUAUUACAAAGAGAAACGCUACUUACAGUUACGAUACGAUCAAAUAGAGGGGUUCAAAAUGUAUUAAAAAAUUCUCCACUCAAGACACCAGUCAGCAUUUGCAAGAAAAGAGAAUGUAAUUAUUUUAAAAUAUUUUAACAAAAGAAACGUAUACGUUUUUUCGACAGAAUUUAGUGCGACGUGCAAUAUUGACUUCACAUUAUGUUUUUGUAUUAAUUUUGUAAUUGACUAUUUCGUGGAAGGGCGUUCAGAAGAAAUCGAAAGAUGGCAUGCAAAUGAGCCACUUCCUAGACGACGUCGAAGGCAACAAAUUGAAGUUCUUGAUGAACCUGUUGUUCAUACUUUCUCAACAUUUCCACCUACUCGUUGUCGUCAGCGUCCACAACGAAGAUGUGUUAUGUGUUCGUCGAUACUAGAUACUUUUGUAAUUUGUGCCCUACAAAAGACCUGCAUUGCUUCAACCGUUAAAGGCAUUUUGUUUAAUUUUUUCUCAAAAUAAAUUACGUAUAAUGAAUUAUAAAAAAAUAUCAUUUGGUUUUGUAUAAGUUAUUACAGCUUUCAGUGUAGAUUCAUUAUUCGAAUAAAAAUUUUACUGGAGCAGAAAGGGUUCAAUGCUUAAUUUGAAUUGUGGUUGUAGAUAAAUUUAUUUCUAUUAAUUAUGAUUAAUAAUUAAUUAAUAGAAUUAAAAGACAGAUACGCUUAUUUGAACACGCAAGGUGAGAAGAAGAAAUUUCAAGAAGUUCCAUUUGAAACAAAAUUUAUACAUUUAUCCACACCAUUUUUAAACUUUUCGGAACAUAAAUGCACAAAUGAUAGAAGUUAUUGUUAUUACAUGUUUGAUAGAAAAAUACGAGAAUUCUAAAAUUCUAUAUUAUUAUUAGUUCCCAAAUUAAUAUUUCUUAACAAAAUUAUGAAAACAUAUUGGAAAUAAACAAGAUAUUCCAUAAAAA